rnacentral:lncRNA from 1 species
CCUACACACACAGAAGAAGGAUGUCCAGAUCAGGGAAAGCUUCAGAGAGAAGAACAAAUUUAACACUGGCCAGAACAAGAGCUCUAAGAAGCUGGGAAGAUGGGCCCCAGAGUACAGGGGAGAACAAUUCUGCAGACACAAGAGAACCCUGGGACCUGGGUGUGGUGGUGCACACCUGUCAUCCUAGCUACUUGGACAGCUGAGGCAGGAGGAUCACAAGUUUGAGCCCAGCUUGAGCAACUUAGUGAGACCCUGUCUCAAAAAAUGCAAAAGGGCUAGGAUGUAGCUCAGGGCUAGAGUGGUUGUCUGGCAUGUACAAGGCCUUGACUUUAAUCCUCAGUACUGAAAGAAAAAAAAAAAAAAAAGAGCUCUACAGGAAGUUUAAAACCAUCAAGAUACAUAAAAGUAUAACUUUAUUGUUAUCUGCAUUCGCCCUACUGUGCAAUAAUAGCAUCCCAGAACUUCUUACUACUAUCCACCUGUAACUUAGUCCUCCAGGAUUUAUCUCACCUAUAAACAUUUUGAGAAGACCAAACAAAUACACAUGCAAUAUCAUCCAAAGGCAAUUGCAUAUUUUGUUUGGUUUUUUUUUUUUAUUUUGGUACUGGGAAUCGAACUCAGGACCUUAUGCUUGUGAGGCAGGCGGCGGAACCACUGAGCUAAAUCCCCGGCCCGGCAAUUGCAUAUUUUAUUACUCUAUUGCAUAUCAAAAAAAUAAAGACAAAUUAAAAUUAC